rnacentral:pre_miRNA from 1 species
AUUUCUACUUUAACCAUAGUUCUGACCUUUGAGUAAAAUUUGGUAAGUUCUAUUUGUUGGGGUAGUUUUA